rnacentral:rRNA from 1 species
GUGUCAGCAGCCGCGGUAAUACGUAGGAGACGAGCGUUGUCCGGAGUUACUGGGCGUAAAGGGUGCGCAGGCGGCCUGGCGCGUCGCGAGUGAAAUCUCCUGGCUCAACUGGGAGGGUGGUCGCGAGACGGCUGGGCUUGAGGCUCGGUGAGGGGCGUGGAAUUCCGGGUGGAGCGGUGAAAUGCGUAGAGAUCCGGAGGAACACCGACGGCGUAGGCAGCGCCCUAGACGAGACCUGACGCUCAGGCACGAAAGCGCGGGGAGCGAACAGGAUUAGAAACCCCUGUAGUCC